GAUGAACGCUAGCUACAGGCUUAACACAUGCAAGUCGAGGGGCAGCACUAGGUAGCAAUACUGAGGUGGCGACCGGCGCACGGGUGCGUAACGCGUAUCCAACCUUCCCGUUACUCUUGGAUAGCCUUCCGAAAGGGAGAUUAAUACAAGAUGGUAUUCAAAUUCCGCAUGUUAUUUGAAUUAAAGAUUUAUCGGUAACGGAUGGGGAUGCGUGACAUUAGAUAGUAGGCGGGGUAACGGCCCACCUAGUCUACGAUGUCUAGGGGUUCUGAGAGGAAGGUCCCCCACACUGGAACUGAGACACGGUCCAGACUCCUACGGGAGGCAGCAGUGAGGAAUAUUGGUCAAUGGUCGAGAGACUGAACCAGCCAUGCCGCGUGAAGGUCACGGCCCUAUGGGUCUUAAACUUCUUUUGCAAGGGAGCAAUAAGUCUCACGUGUGGGAUGAUGAGAGUACCUUGCGAAUAAGCAUCGGCUAACUCCGUGCCAGCAGCCG
rnacentral:rRNA from 1 species